rnacentral:tRNA from 2 species
GCGUCAUUAGUUCAACUGGAUAGAGCAUCGAGCUUCUAACUCGACUGUUGUAGGUUCGAGUCCUACAUGACGCG